rnacentral:rRNA from 1 species
UACGAAGGGGGCUAGCGUUGUUCGGAAUUACUGGGCGUAAAGCGCACGUAGGCGGAUAUUUAAGUCAGGGGGUGAAAUCCCAGAGCUCAACUCUGGAACUGCCUUUGAUACUGGGUAUCUUGAGUAUGGAAGAGGUAAGUGGAAUUGCGAGUGUAGAGGUGAAAUUCGUAGAUAUUCGCAGGAACACCAGUGGCGAAGGCGGCUUACUGGUCCAUAAC